GAUCCACCCGCUCCCAUAAAGUGAGUUAUGCCCCUUGCCCAUUAGUUCCUUCUGUCAACACCAUCGUCGAGAUUUCUAAUAUUUAACAAGAGCAGGAACGAACAGCAAACACACUCAGAUAUAAGUCUAAGGCGUUCUCUACCGUCAUCUUCAGAUUGAUUUACCUGGGUACAUCUGAGCUUCUGUCCUGCAAGCUAAACAAGUGUGUACUCACCAUGAAGCUGCUGUUUGUCUUGCUGGUGAUCCCGAUGGUUUUGGCCGGGGAUUUCGCCAAGAUGUGGUCUGAGAUGGAGGAGAAACUUAAGAGUAAGGGGUGGGGGGAGGAGGAU